GUGGGGCCUCUAGACUUCUUCAUGGGGGAUUUCUCUUUCAGAUAUCUGAGAAAAUCUUGGUCUGAGGGGCAGAAGGAAACUCAAAUGGUGGCCAGUGAUAGCCAUGCAACAACUAGACAUCCCUGGACGCUUUUCUGGUCCAAGAUCCACCCUCACCUUUAUGGAUUGUGUUAACGAAGCAUUAAUACAACCUCUGGAUUCAGGAUGUAUCUCAAUGAAGAGCAAAGAUGAUAAAGUUCCCAGUUUAAUAGAACUGUAAAUAAAAUGUUACUAGCUCCUGUAGAACAUUGUCCUCAAAUCCAUCCUACGGUGGUGCAGAUGGUAAAGAACCUGCCUGCGACGUGGGAGACCAGAGUUUUAUCCCGGGGUCAGGAAGAUCCCCUGUAGUAGAAAAUGGCAACCCACGCCAAUAUUCUUGCCUGGAGAAUUCCUUGGACAGUAUGAUCGAUGGGGUUGCAGAGAGUCGGAUGUGACUGAGCGACUAACGCUUGCACCUUUACUUCAUAGAAAGAGGAAAGUUUUUUCCCUCCCAAACAGCUGGCUUAGUUAGUGAGAUAAACUUUCCUGGCUGGACUCUGCUCCCUCCAAGGCUGCUGCAGCUGAGGGAUCCUAGGACAUCAGACAAAUGACACGUUCCCAUCAUGCACCGGUGCCAAGACACUCCUGACCAAGACUAAAUAAAGAUAAAAGUCCCUCCCUCCAUCAGGAAGGUGGAGCUAGAAUGAAAACCUGGGAAUAAGACCACAAAAUCCUCACUCCGAGACCUACUGCAGCAAGGCGUGGUAUUGCGUUGAGCCAUAAAAGCCACAGGACACUGACCACGAGAAAUCUCCCGCAAGAGGGUGUGUCAGUCGUGAAUAGAGAGAGGUCUGUCUACCGACCUCAAGGCGAUUUCCACGGAGUUUCUGGCACACAGGAUUGAUGGACUGGGAGAGUCCUCACACAGCCCUCGAGACCUCUGUCACUUGCCUAACUUUGGGAGCCCACCUGUUAUCAGUGCCUCAUGGAACGGGAUACAACUUUAACCGAGAUGACCUAUUUUCAAUACUGAGACUGGUUCAGAGAGAUACAGCAAUCUACCAACUCAAAUUCUGAACUGGGA